rnacentral:rRNA from 1 species
UUCGGGUUGUAACCUCUUUCGCAGGGAAGAAGCGAGAGUGACGGUACCUGCAGAAGAAGCGCCGGCUAACUACGUGCCAGCAGCCGCGGUAAUACGUAGGGCGCAAGCGUUGUCCGGAAUUAUUGGGCGUAAAGAGCUCGUAGGCGGCUUGUCGCGUCGGUUGUGAAAGCCCGGGGCUUAACCCCGGGUCUGCAGUCGAUACGGGCAGGCUAGAGUUCGGUAGGGGAGAUCGGAAUUCCUGGUGUAGCGGUGAAAUGCGCAGAUAUCAGGAGGAACACCGGUGGCGAAGGCGGAUCUCUGGGCCGAUACUGACGCUGANGAGCGAAAGCGUGGGGAGCGAACAGGAUUAGAUACCCUGGUAGUCC